UCUCUGUUCUCCCUCUACCAGAAGGCGUUCAAAGACACCAGUCAGUACGUUGUCGGGGAGCUGUCUGCUCUGGAGAGCGAGCAGCGCCACAUCGACGCCCGGGCGGCGCGCGUGGAGAAGAGGCUACGCUAUCUCAUGGACACAGGGAACAGUAAGGAAGAGGAGGAGGCCAUGAUGCAGGAGUGGUUCAUGUUGGUCAACAAGAAGAAUGCUCUGAUCAGGAGACAGAACCAACUCUCUCUACUGGAGAAGGAGCACGAUCUGGAGCGACGCUUUGAGCUGCUCAACAGAGAGCUGAGAGCCAUGAUGGCCAUCGAGGGUAAGACAUUUACCCUUCAGGUCAUUUAGAAGACGCUCUUAUGAC